AUGGCUGCCCAGCGGGUGAAGUCGUUGUCGGGGAGCAAGAGACAGAAAGGGACUGUGCCAGCUCUCUGGGCCUUAGGAAUCGUGUGGCUGACGUGUCUCAUGGCACGGGAUGUGGAAGGGGGCGACUCGCCGCUGAAGUGCGAAGAUCUUCGAGUCGGCCAAUAUAUUUGUGAAGAUCCUAAAAUAGACAAUGACACUCAAGAACCUGUGAAGUGUACAAAUCAUACUGCAUAUGUUGCUUGUCAUCCAGCACCAAAUAUUACAUGCAAGGAUUUCAGUGGAAAUGAAACCCAAUUCACUGGAAAAGAAAUUGGAUUUUACAGACCUAUAGAAUGUCGAAAUGUAAAUGGUUAUUCCUACAAAGUAGCAGUAGCUCUGUCUUUAUUUCUCGGUUGGUUGGGAGCAGAUAGGUUUUAUCUAGGAUAUCCUGCCUUAGGUUUGUUAAAGUUCUGCACAGUGGGAUUUUGUGGAAUUGGUAGCUUGAUUGAUUUCAUUCUGAUUUCAAUGCAGAUCGUGGGACCCUCAGAUGGCUCUAGUUACAUUAUAGAUUAUUAUGGAGCAAGGCUAACCAGACUGAGUAUUACUAAUGAGACAUUCAGAAAACCACAGAUGUAUCCAUAAACUUGCCAGAUCACACCUUCAAAAACUAUACUGAAGAUUCUUUGGACGAUGUUGGUGAUUUUUUAAAAUUAAUUUUUACUGUGGCUGGUUUUUAAUGGUUCCAGAGUUUUUAAGAGUUAAACAUCAUAUCCUCCGUUAGAGAUGAUGCCUGUUUAAUAAGCAAUGCAAGGGGAAGCCUUGAAAGACUACAAUCUGUGGGAGUGUCUAUGUUAUCAGUUCUCUCCAUUUAAGUCAGAAGCAGCGGACAACUUUAUCAUAUAUACUGUUAUUUACAUGAACAGAGUUAAGGUUUUUCUGCCUUGAUUUUGACAAUCACUUUAUGUCCCUGUCAAGAAGAGGACAAUGACUUGCUGUAUAUUUUGUUAAAUCAGAAUGAACUAUGGACAUUAUUUAUGCUGAAUGCAACGUUAAGUACAGUACACUGGACUGCAUGCUAGUCUAAAGACUAAAAAGUGUGCACAUAAAGAAGAGAGCAAGAAGCAAUGACUUGACAUUUGGCAUUCUGUUCCAUAUUACACUUUAAGAGCAAGAAGAGACUAUAAACAAAAAAAAGUUGUUUUACAGAUGUACCAAGUUCCAGCUCAUUCACUCUCCUGCCCUUGCAUCAAGUACAUCCUGUACUUUUGGCAACAAGUUGACUGGAUAUUUAAAAGCUGCAAACUGCUUUGAAAGUUUCACAUAGUGGGUUAUGGGCCAUGUGUGUUUGAUCAAAAUUCAAUUACUAUAUUGUGCCAGGCUUGGAAACCUAUCAUUGCAAGUUAUGAAGUAUGACGAAAUGAGCUACUCUAAUUGGUUCAGUAUGGGGAGCAGUCUCAACCAACCUUGUUAUGAUAAAUAGCUUCCUCUGUUAAAGAUUUUCUGGGGCUUAAGUAUCUUGGCUUACCUCCUUCGACAGAAUAGGAAUAGUAUUCCCUUGGUACAUUUGCAUCGCUGUCCCUCUUCCCCAUUCAUAUGUAAACAUUUGUGUCAUUUUCAUCUUGCUGUUCUUGACAAAAAUAAAUAGUAAUUGCUGUC